UACGGAGGGGGCUAGCGUUGUUCGGAAUUACUGGGCGUAAAGCGCGCGUAGGCGGACCUGCAAGUCGGGGGUGAAAGCCCGAGGCUCAACCUCGGAACUGCCUUCGAUACUGCGGGUCUCGAGUCCGGGAGAGGUGAGUGGAAUUCCUAGUGUAGAGGUGAAAUUCGUAGAUAUUAGGAAGAACACCAGUGGCGAAGGCGGCUCACUGGCCCGGUACUGACGCUGAGGCGCGAAAGCGUGGGGGGAGCAAACAGG
rnacentral:rRNA from 1 species